GAUUCUCUAGUUUUAAAAAAUAAAUUUUGAUUUAUUUUAGUCUUCCGCUGUAUGAUCUUGAAAAAGUUUCAAGAUCUAACCCUGAAACCCUAGAUAUGGUUCCUUCAACCAAUCCAACAUAACUCAAGAAUACAUACUGAUACAGAUAUUCUACCAUCAAUGUAUCCUCCCACUCUUAGGUCUAAUCUUUCUCCAAAGAUCAAAAAUAAAUGCUUAGUAUUUCUCAAAUACUUAAGGAUAUUUUUCACAGCAAUCCAGUACUCUCAGCCUGGAUUCGAUAAUUAUUUGCUCGUGACUCUCACAGCAAGAUAUAUGAAAUUGAGUACAUAGCAUGGCAUACACUUAUGUCCUAGAAGAUAACGGAUCUCUCUUGGAGGUUUCUAUGCUGAACCCUUUCAGUACCUUUUCUAUGUACUUGUCUAUGAAAAAUCAAAUAUCCUUUAAGAUCUAUUUUAUAGACCUUCAUUCCUAGAAUAUAGGAUGUUUGUACUAAGUCUUUGAUGAAAAUUCUAUAUGUAACUGCAUCAUAACCGAUGUUAACCUCCCACUGACCUUCAUGUAAACACAUGAUUCCUCCUCACUUUUGAUAAAAUCAAACAAUUUGAUUACAUCAUUAAAACAACUUAAUUUGACUCUGAAACUUUUGCUUAAAUCCAUAAAUAAAUUUUUACAGUGUGAUCUUUAUC
rnacentral:lncRNA from 1 species